ACAUCGAUAGCUCAGUGGCAGAACGGUGGGGCGUUUACCCAUGCGGCCCGGGUUCGAUUCCCGGUCGAUGUA